ensembl:lncRNA
GUAACUACUUAGUGUUUAUGCACAAGGCUAUCAAAUUCACUCCAUUUCUAUGGACAGGUUCCCAGCAAUCCUGCCAGGUAAGUCGCAUUGGCCCUCAUCUUUCAGGGGAGGAGCUGAGAUAGGAAGUUAUUUUCCCAGAGCGAAACUUAGAGGGGCAGGGAUUGAACUCCAGGCCUUGUACCUGGACCGGGAGCCAGGAAAGGAGGGCACGUGUCUGGUGUGGGGCCAAGGUGGUGGGCAGGGCGUUAGGCUGGAGGUGAGGGGUAAUGAGGGAAGGUGCAGGUGCUGAAGGUUUUACUCUGGCCUUGGCUUUGAUUCAAGGCUACUGGAUGGAUUGUCGAAGUGUGGCUUCACCACUGGGGUGGCAGAUGAGCCACUGAAUCCACCGGAAGGCCCGAGAGCAUUCCCAAUAUUGCUGCUUACAGCUGCAGGGCAAGUUGCUUCAUUCCACUGAACUUCUGUUACCUUAUCCAUGGAACUACAGUGGGUUUGGCCAGGAACACAUCUCAGAUCUUUUCUAGCAAUAGUGCUGUGUGGCUCUUAAGAAACUCAGAAGGUAAUUGAAAACAGGACUGUGCAAUUGAAACCAGCUUGUUACAAGCACCAGGGAAAAUAUUUUUCAAAGAAGCAAGUUCCAUCCAAAGAGCAACUCUACUCCUAUGUAGGUAAGCCUGCCAAAUAUCUCGGCCUGGUUAGAUACAAUCCUCCGAGGCAUUUACUUCCCUCCAGGUUAAUAAACAUCAAAGACCAUGAUGCUUUUAGGAUACAGUUCCCUGUUAAAUUCUUUAAGGGCAUCUUUGACAUUGGUCCUUUGUGUGCCUGGGAGGCAAGGAAGUUGCAAACCCGGGAGCUAUUUACUGCCCAGCUGUCUCCUCCUGUGACUGCCGACCUUCCAGCAGCCCCAGUGCCAUUAGCCUGCCUUCUGCUGUCACCGCAGGUUUGCUCAGACUUUUCACCUUCACUGUUGAUCACAAAAACUCAGCUGGAGGUUGCUGAAUGCAUCAAACGAAGGGAAAGCCAGCCAGGAGAUGAGGCUGGGAAGUUGUGAGCAGGGAGCGGACAUGAGCCUGCAGGGUGAGGUGCUUCAGGCUCAGAGCAGCAGUGCAAGACCAUCUGCUCUCCAUGUGCCCAGGAAGACCUCGAAGCAUCCUCCAGACCUGGUUAUGGAUACAGGAAGGGGGAGGCGAGCAGCAAUCAAGGCGAGUGACUCGAGAACCAGCCCUGCACCAUAAACCCCAUGCAGUCAGGAACCAGGGAGUGGGCACACAGUAGGUGCUCAUGAAUGUCUGGAGAGUACAAGGUGGCUGGAGCAGACAGUGAACGGUUCCUAAAUAGUUGGCCUGAACCUGUGCAGGACACAGGAGAGGGAAGGAGUGUGAGGGGUGGGGGGCAAGAGGACAGGGAAUUAUUACUUAGGGCAGGAAGUUCAAGGCUACAGAAAUUCUGACAGGUUGUGCUCAUUGUCGUUGUCAUUACCCGCACAGCCUCCCUCAGGGUGGUACUGCUUGGAAAGCCGUUAUGACACUGAUGGCCAGCAAAUAAUUAAGCUGUUUAGAGCUUGGGAAAUUUGUUCUCUGACUAAUUAAACUUUAUGGAUCUAGCUGUUCCCUAAACAUUAUUCUAAGAUUGCACGGUGAACAUUACACCUUGUGCACCAUUGGGCACCAUUAGAUUGGCAUUAGUGCUCACUAGGGGAUAUUUUAUGAUGUGUGCUUCUAAACUCCCAAGACAGAUGAAGCUGAGACACAUGUGAGUACCCCAUAAAACAAAUCCUAUCGGACUUUCAUUUCGAAUGCUUUGGCAUUCCCAGUUAAAAUGAUAAUGUAGUGGCCUUUUGCUCCACGUGUUAAACUCAAUGAGCAUCAUGAGAAUUCCAUCAUUUUAUCAGCAUCUGAUAUGCUAGAAAAAUAUAACUAUAAUAUAUGCU